AUUGAACGCUGGCGGCAGGCCUAACACAUGCAAGUCGAGCGGAUGACGGGAGCUUGCUCCUUGAUUCAGCGGCGGACGGGUGAGUAAUGCCUAGGAAUCUGCCUGGUAGUGGGGGACAGCGUUUCGAAAGGAACGCUAAUACCGCAUACGUCCUACGGGAGAAAGCAGGGGACCUUCGGGCCUUGCGCUAUCAGAUGAGCCUAGGUCGGAUUAGCUUGUUGGUGAGGUAAUGGCUCACCAAGGCGACGAUCCGUAACUGGUCUGAGAGGAUGAGCAGUCACACUGGAACUGAGACACGGUCCAGACUCCUACGGGAGGCAGCAGUUGGGAAUAUUGGACAAUGGGCGAAAGCCUGAUCCAGCCAGUCCGCGUGUGUGAAGAAGGUCUUCGGAUUGUAAAGCACUUUAAGUUGGGAGGAAGGGUUGUAGAUUAAUACUCUGCAAUUUUGACGUUACCGACAGAAUAAGCACCGGCUAACUCUGUGCCAGCCGCCGCAGUAACAC
rnacentral:rRNA from 1 species